rnacentral:rRNA from 1 species
UACGUAGGGGGCAAGCGUUGUCCGGAAUUAUUGGGCGUAAAGCGCGCGCAGGCGGUCAUUUAAGUCUGGUGUUUAAUCCUGGGGCUCAACCCCAGUUCGCAUCGGAAACUGGACGACUUGAGUGUAGGAGAGGAAAGUGGAAUUCCACGUGUAGCGGUGAAAUGCGUGAGAGAUGUGGAGGAACGACCAGUGGCCGGAAGGGCGAAGCUUU